rnacentral:lncRNA from 1 species
AAUAGCUCUUGCCCCUCUCGGUCUAAACUAUAUUUACUUGGUUUGUACCUAUUGUAGGGGGAGCUUGCCACCCAAUCCAUUCUUCCCUUUGUCAGUUUGUGACCGUACACUAGUCUUGGAUAUCUCACCGAUGACUCAAAAGAAAGAUAAAGGACUCCCUUGGACAUCGAAAAGAGAAGAUUAAGAAACCAAAUUGAAAUGACUAUAUGAUGUCAGCUUCUUUCUGACCCCU